UUUGCCUAGUCGUUCGGAUGCGACGGGAAUUCGACAUCCAUCUGUAUAUAGAUUGGUUUACACGUAAAAAAUAGGAAAGGUAUUUCGCGCUUCGGUAAUGCAUUUACGUCGCUUUCCUGGAAAAUAUAGCUGGGGUUAAUAUUCAAUCAACAGCAAGACGUAAUAGCAGAAUCGGGAGAAGUAUAACAUACGCAACUAUGGCGGCAACAGACGCGGAAGUGACAAUAACUGUAGAAAGUGCGAGUUUAUUAUCAGAAGAACAAACAAAGAAGAAGAAGAAGGGUAAAAAGAGAGAUAAAGAAAUGGACGCAGAAAUUCGAGAGCUAUUUCGUAUAUUCGACAAAAACCACGAUAAUACAAUCUCCUCUAAUGAAUUAGGCAAAGUUUUAAAAUGUAUGGGUAUAGAGAUGCCAGACCAAGAUAUACAUAUGUAUAUGGAGGAAUUAGAUAAAGAAGGGAAUGGUAGAAUAGAAUAUCGAGAGUUUCAUACUUUUAUGCAAGAAGAGUUAAAGAAAGUAGAUGACCCUGAACAUCAAGAACAGACAGUGAGGAGCGCCUUUAGGGUUUUUGACAAGCAAUCAGAAGGUUUAAUUGGACUGACAGAGUUUAAAUCAGCCAUGAAAAACCUUGGAGAGCCUCUCACUGAUGAAGAACUAGAAGACAUCAUUAAUAUGGCAAAAGUUAAUGAAGAGGGCAAAAUAGAUUAUGAGGAAUUUAUAAAGGUAUGGUUACAAAGGAAACCCAGUGAGAAAGAGUGACGGUAUCAUAUUGUCUACGUCAUCUUAUAUUGGUGCUGCUGAUUGGUUAUAUUGCUCAAACUCGCUAGCCUUGUUCAUCCAGUAAACCCACUUCAUUUUAGUUUUUCAUCUUCGAUAUUGUAUUUUGAUAAUUUGUGUCCAUUGUUUACAUUUUAUGCUAACGCAUUUUAAGGUUGCCAUUACCUUUGUGCAUCUCCCGCCUGCCGCUAUGUUGUUUACAUUCUUUACUGUGGCGUUUUCCAAACUUGCUGGAAUUAUUGUUCUGGUAAUGGAAUAAUUGUUUUGGCGACACUGGCUCUAUCAUUGAAUUCUUCUUUUUAAUCGGGUGAUAUUCCUAAACCAUUGUCGAAAUUCCGAGUCGCGAGUUGUCAUACUAUUACCCUCACUAUUAAAUGGCUUUUCAAACUUUCCUAAUUCAAAUCGUGAUAGAAUUUAUGAAUUGCAUUGACGAGUAUCCUGUAUAUGGGUGUGUUUUGGGUGUUUUAAUACCUAACAUUUAAAAAAAGUAUUAUCAUUAUUUAGUAAUGUAUAAUUUUAUGUGCAACGGGCUUUUUCAACCACGAGAGGUCUUAUACGCCACUGUAAUAGAAUAAUUAUGACAACACGUAAUAAUCCAGUUAAAUUAUGCUUUAUCACCGCUUACGUUGGGUUUAAAAUUUUAUCAACAUAUUUUUCUAUUCAAAUGCAAAUUCCAUUUGAGUGCCUUUGUUAGUAAAGAAUCAUAGGUAGAUGUUAGCUUAAUGUAUAUAUACGACUAUUUCUCGUUACCAAUAUUGCAACCGGUCUCGUAAACUGGCCAUCACUUUUGGUUUAUUCAAACGGAUUCAGUGACGAAAAUAGUGCUAAGCGCGGAUAAUGUAAAACUGCCCUUGUACCAUUUCGAAGAAGAAAAAAACAACACUUACGCUGAUCUGCUCUUUUUUUAUGAAAACGUUGAUGUAUUCAACAGUAACGUAACUCUGAAUAGUAAAUUAAACGCAUAUCGGUGGCACCAUCGUGACCAAACAAAUGUUACAAUACAAGUUCGUAGGUCCCCUCCUGAAUAGUAAAUUAAAUGCUUUUGACAACAAAAUUGUUACAUAUAAAGGGACACCAGAUUCCUUGUACCUCAUGACACGUCGUGCUUUAAUAAAUGCUUCAGUUUUUCUACUUCGACCCAUUGCAAAAGCUUCUUGCCACCACAUAUGACUCAAGGGACAAAACUCUUCAGUACAACUUACCACUUAUAGCUAAACAUGCAUCCCUAUUAUUAUAUUCUACAAAUAAUUACAAAAUUAUGCUUUCUCAAAAUCAGCAGAUUCCCCCCCCCCCAAAAAAAAAAAACCCAAACAAACCCUUCACCAAAAUAAUGUAUUUCCACUGCAUAAUUUUGCGAUCCGACAAACAACAUUAUCAUUUAAUUUUAUAAAUACAUGUAUAUUUAUAGCGUGGGAUAUGACUACCACGUAUGAAAGUUGUCCUUUUCUAUUUCAAAUAUAUUGCCUCUUUAUUACCAUUGAGCAGUGGAUCUUUCCGAGGGCCACUUACUAAAUACAACUUUAAUGGCACUAAUUUAUUUUUUAUUACAGUGCUUUCUUUUUCUAGAACGCCUGAUACCAUUUUAAAGUUAUGUGAGAAGUUCACAUAUUUGUACUUUUGUAUCAUACAUAUUUUGUUUUAUUUAUAAACAUGUUCUUUCUAAUGCUAAUAUCUUGCAUUUAUAUUAAGAACAAUGAUUGGGCAGAUGCUUUUAAUGUCCGAUUUAUUUAAGACGCAUUAUAAGAGCUAAACCUGUCUAUUGCAAAUCGUUUUUCUAGUUUCAAAUGGUAAAUAAAUAAAAUAUAAAUUUAUUCAGAUGGCUAGUCAAUAAUCAACUAUCUGAUGGCUAAGUUAUUGAAUGGACUAGACAUCUUCAUUAAACGUUGAUACAGACUCCACGCACCAAGACUACCGAGUGGUGGACUGAAAAUGGAGACGUAAUUCGCAGACCAAAGUUGUUUUUAUGACGUUAAAGAGCAUCGUAGUCUCAGUUUAUGGUAACCUUUACCAGUCACAAUGUGCUUAGACUUAUACUUGACUUGUGCUUUUGUAAGAAUGGUCAUGAGAAUUUUCUAGGGACGGUAUUUUUAUAAGUUUCUUACGUAAAAAAAGAAAAAGUGAAGCAUGACUUUGUUUCAAUUACCUUCCUUUUUCACUACCUUUUUUUUUUAGUAUAGAACGAACGACCGUUUCAUUGAAUUCUUGCAUACUGCAUCUUUAAGUUUAUGGAUAAUUUAAGGUUUUCCUUCCCAAACUCUCCGAUUAUAUUACACAGAACUUCAAUGAAUGAACCGCUUCAAUGAAUGCACCAAUUCUAGCGGCGGUGCAUCUAUUCCUGAUAGACCCGCGUAAAAUGGACACGCUUUGCAAAAAGUGGCUAGACGAACAUUGAUCUUGACAAAUAUUAAGCAAUAUUCUAAAAGCCACGCAGUCAUUGUGUUAACGGUAGACAUGACCAACCAUAUACACAAUUCAUUCUCUUCUGUCUAACCGAAUGUAUUUGGUCAACUUAACAGGGAUGUGGGUUUGAUCAACCAGAAUGUGGCACUAUUAUCAACAUUUUUACACAUAUCUUCCUACUUCUGUUUUUGUGUGUUUAUUCCAAACACGAUCUAUGCUGUCUACAAAUUAUGUGUAACAUACAAUAUUGAAUUAUAUAUUCUACAAUUGUAUAUUUAUUUUAUUUUUCUAUUUUUAUUAAAUUUGAUUAAAUAUUAUAAUUGUGUAUACUGUGUAUAUAUAAGAAUUAUUAUUUGAUUAAAAUUAUAUGUAUGUUUU